AAACACCGGUCCCCAUACGAUCACUGAAGUUAAGCAGCGUCGAUUCUGUACUGUACCUAGAUGACUGACCAAAUGGGAACACCAGGUGCUGUAA